rnacentral:rRNA from 1 species
AUUGAACGCUGGCGGCAGGCCUAACACAUGCAAGUCGAACGAGCGGCGGACGGGUGAGUAAUGUAUGGGAAUCUGCCCGAUAGAGGGGGAUAACUACUGGAAACGGUAGCUAAUACCGCAUACUAUCGGAUGAACCCAGAGGGGAUUAGCUAGUAGGUGGGGUAAAGGCUAACCUAGGCGACGAUCGCUAGCUGGUCUGCGAGGAUGAGCAGCCACACUGGGACUGAGACACGGCCCAGACUCCUACGGGAGGCAGCAGUGGGGAAUAUUGCACAAUGGGCGCAAGCCUGAUGCAGCCAUGCCGCGUGUAUGAAGAAGGCCUUAGGGGUGUAAAGUACUGUCAGCGGGGAGGCGUUACUCGCAGAAGAAGCACCGGCUAACUCCGUGCCAGCAGCCGCGGUAAUAC